rnacentral:rRNA from 1 species
UGGGGAAUAUUGCACAAUGGGCGAAAGCCUGAUGCAGCGACGCCGCGUGAGGGAUGACGGCCUUCGGGUUGUAAACCUCUUUCAGUAGGGACGAAGCGCAAGUGACGGUACCUGCAGAAGAAGCACCGGCUAACUACGUGCCAGCAGCCGCGGUAAUACGUAGGGUGCGAGCGUUGUCCGGAAUUACUGGGCGUAAAGAGCUCGUAGGCGGUUUGUCACGUCGUCUGUGAAAUCCUAGGGCUUAACCCUGGACGUGCAGGCGAUACGGGCUGACUUGAGUACUACAGGGGAGACUGGAAUUUCUGGUGUAGCGGUGGAAUGCAAAGAUAUCAGGGAGGACACCAAUGGCGAAGGGAGGUCUCUGGGUAGUAACUGACGCUGAGGAGCGAAAGCAUGGGUAGCGAACAGG